GCUCGGGUGGUGGAAUUGGUAGACACAAGGGAUUUAAAAUCCCUCGGCCAUCUAUGGCUGUGCGGGUUCAAGUCCCGCCCCGAGCACCA
rnacentral:tRNA from 1 species